rnacentral:lncRNA from 1 species
GGUUGGGAGGUCCCGCCCAGUGAGGAGGAAUGGAUCACAGACCUUCUUAAAGACCCAGUAUGGCCACAUUUUGGUAGAGCACCUUGCUAUGCCCACCCCGCCAGUGUUCUCAGGAUGACAGAUUUGGAUUCUCCCUGGCAUGGAGGUCUUGAGGUCCUGCCAAGAGAGGGACCUCCCAACCGAGGCCUCCAGCAACCCCUGCCAGUGUUCUGGGGCUGACAGAGAUUUGAAUUCUCCCUGCCAUGAAGGCCUCAGGGUCUGGCCCAGUGAGGGACCUCCCAACCAUGGCCUCCAGCCACCCCCGCUGGUGUUCCAGGGCUGACAGAGAUCUGAAUUCUCCCUGGCACGUAGUUCUCAAGGUCCUGCCCAAUGAGGGUCCUUUUACCUGGGGUCCCCAGCCACCCCCUCCGGUGUUCUCAGGCUGACAGAGAUUUGAGUUCUCCCUGGCAUGGAGGUCUCAGGAUCUUGC